rnacentral:rRNA from 1 species
UGAGUACAAGAUGCUACGGCAUUGAAGCAGUCUAUGUCAUACUUCCAAGAAAAGCUUGCAAUGUCAUAAACAAAUAAUGCCUGUACCAUAACCGACACAGGUGGGUAGGUAGAGUAUACUAAGGGGCGCGAGAUAACUCUCUCUAAGGAACUCGGCAAAAUGACUCCGUAACUUCGGGAGAAGGAGUACCUUAUUUUAUAAGGUUGCAAUAACAAGGUCCAAGCAACUGUUUACCAAAAACACAGGUCUCCGCUAAGUCGUAAGACGAUGUAUGGGGGCUGACGCCUGCCCAGUGCCAGAAGGUUAAAGAAGUUGGUUAGCAUUAGCGAAGCUGAUAACUGAAGCCCUGGUGAACGGCGGCCGUAACAAUAACGGUCCUAAGGUAGCGAAAUUCCUUGUCGGGUAAGUUCCGACCCGCACGAAAGGCGUAAUGAUUUGGAUACUGUCUCGGAGAGGGGCUCGGUGAAAUAGACUUGUCUGUGAAGAUGCGGACUACCUGCACCUGGACAGAAAGACCCUAUGAAGCUUUACUGUAACUUGAGAUUGAAAUUGGACUUUAUUUGCGCAGUAUAGGUGGGAGACCUCGAAAGUAUUCUUGCGGGAAUAUUGGAGUCAUCAGUGAGAUACCACUCUUAUAAUGUUAGAUUUCUAACUUUGUAUCAUUAUCUGGUCAAAGAACAGUUUCAGGCGGGCAGUUUGACUGGGGCGGUCGCCUCCCAAAUGGUAACGGAGGCGCACAAAGGUUUCCUCUGAACGUGUAGAAAUCGUAUCUAGAGUGUAAAGGCAUAAGGAAGCUUGACUGUGAGACCUACAAGUCGAGCAGGGACGAAAGUCGGUCUUAGUGAUCUGACGGUGCUGAGUGGAAAGGCCGUCACUCAACGGAUAAAAGUUACUCUAGGAUAACAGGCUGAUCUCCCCCAAGAGUUCACAUCGACGGGGAGGUUUGGCACCUCGAUGUCGGCUCAUCGCAUCCUGGGGCGGUAGUACGUCCCAAGGGUUGGGCUGUUCGCCAUGAAAGCGGUACGCGAGCUGGGUUCAGAACGUCGUGAGACAGUUCGGUCCAUAUCCGGUGUAGGCGUUAGAAUAUUGAGAGGAGCCUUCUUUAGUACGAGAGGACCGAGAAGGACAUACCUCUGGUGUACCAGUUAUCGUGCCAACGGUAAACGCUGGGUAGCUAUGUAUGGAGAGGAUAACCGCUGAAAGCAUCUAAGUGGGAAGCCCACCUCAAGAUAAG